UGGGGAAUAUUGCACAAUGGGCGAAAGCCUGAUGCAGCAACGCCGCGUGAGUGAUGAAGGUCUUCGGAUUGUAAAGCUCUGUCUUUUGGGACGAUAAUGGACGGUACCAAAGGAGGAAGCCACGGCUAACUACGUGCCAGCAGCCGCGGUAAUACGUAGGUGGCGAGCGUUGUCCGGAUUUACUGGGCGUAAAGGGUGCGUAGGCGGAUGUUUAAGUGAGAUGUGAAAUACCCGGGCUUAACUUGGGUGCUGCAUUUCAAACUGGAUAUCUAGAGUGCAGGAGAGGAGAAUGGAAUUCCUAGUGUAGCGGUGAAAUGCGUAGAGAUUAGGAAGAACACCAGUGGCGAAGGCGAUUCUCUGGACUGUAACUGACGCUGAGGCACGAAAGCGUGGGUAGCAAACAGGAUUAGAUACCCUGGU
rnacentral:rRNA from 1 species